rnacentral:rRNA from 1 species
CGUGGCGGGGUGCCUAUACAUGCAAGUCGAACGCUUCUUUUUCCACCGGAGCUUGCUCCACCGGAAAAAGAGGAGUGGCGAACGGGUGAGUAACACGUGGGUAACCUGCCCAUCAGAAGGGGAUAACACUUGGAAACAGGUGCUAAUACCGUAUAACAAUCGAAACCGCAUGGUUUUGAUUUGAAAGGCGCUUUCGGGUGUCGCUGAUGGAUGGACCCGCGGUGCAUUAGCUAGUUGGUGAGGUAACGGCUCACCAAGGCCACGAUGCAUAGCCGACCUGAGAGGGUGAUCGGCCACAUUGGGACUGAGACACGGCCCAAACUCCUACGGGAGGCAGCAGUAGGGAAUCUUCGGCAAUGGACGAAAGUCUGACCGAGCAACGCCGCGUGAGUGAAGAAGGUUUUCGGAUCGUAAAACUCUGUUGUUAGAGAAGAACAAGGAUGAGAGUAACUGUUCAUCCCUUGACGGUAUCUAACCAGAAAGCCACGGCUAACUACGUGCCAGCAGCCGCGGUAAUACGUAGGUGGCAAGCGUUGUCCGGAUUUAUUGGGCGUAAAGCGAGCGCAGGCGGUUUCUUAAGUCUGAUGUGAAAGCCCCCGGCUCAACCGGGGAGGGUCAUUGGAAACUGGGAGACUUGAGUGCAGAAGAGGAGAGUGGAAUUCCAUGUGUAGCGGUGAAAUGCGUAGAUAUAUGGAGGAACACCAGUGGCGAAGGCGGCUCUCUGGUCUGUAACUGACGCUGAGGCUCGAAAGCGUGGGGAGCAAACAGGAUUAGAUACCCUGGUAGUCCACGCCGUAAACGAUGAGUGCUAAGUGUUGGAGGGUUUCCGCCCUUCAGUGCUGCAGCUAACGCAUUAAGCACUCCGCCUGGGGAGUACGACCGCAAGGUUGAAACUCAAAGGAAUUGACGGGGGCCCGCACAAGCGGUGGAGCAUGUGGUUUAAUUCGAAGCAACGCGAAGAACCUUACCAGGUCUUGACAUCCUUUGACCACUCUAGAGAUAGAGCUUCCCCUUCGGGGGCAAAGUGACAGGUGGUGCAUGGUUGUCGC